CACGUAGGGGGCGAGCGUUGUCCGGAUUUAUUGGGCGUAAAGAGCUCGUAGGCGGUCUGUUGCGUCCGCUGUGAAAUCUCGGGGCUUAACCCCGAGCCUGCAGUGGAUACGGGCAGACUAGAGGUAGGUAGGGGAGAAUGGAAUUCCCGGUGUAGCGGUGAAAUGCGUAGAGAUCGGGAAGAACACCAACGGCGAAAGCACUCUGCUGGGCCGAAACUGACACUGAGAGACGAAAGCUAGGGGAGCAAAUGGG
rnacentral:rRNA from 1 species